GGUAGAAAUGCAUUUCCUGCUUUUUUCACAUUUUGAAAACGUAAAUUUUCUCAUCCAAUGAAAACAGCCACGACCUACUCUGAGGCCGUUCCCCAGGUUUCGUCAUACUGGUUGAAAGUUCUCCCUGCAAAUCCUGAACCACCACCCCCACAAUGAUCCCGAACCAAAACUGGACUUCCGCCAUUUCCCCCCUCUCACUCACCGUGAACAGACAAGCACGGCAGCGCCCAAGUCCUCCCAUAGAAAUAGUUCAGUUCUUAGGUGUUCUAACCAACACCAAAGUCUCUUCACUUUACCAAGGGAUCAACAAGUGAGGAUUUGUGGGUCACUUUUAUUUUUAACGGACCGGUGCCAGAAACACUGCCUCAGCAUUUAUACGUAUGUGCAUUUCAAACGAGGGUGCGUACAAUGCUGGAUUUGUUUCACGGCUCCUGUUGGAAAAAAGGAUCUAUUCCUAAAGUCCGUCAUCCACUCACUGAAGAGGGCAAAUCCCAGUUCCCACAUGCAAGGAGGCUGUCAAACAGAGAAAUCACUGCAGACUGUUGGUACACGGACAUCUGCUGCCCAGCUCAAGAGUAAAGGUAUGUAAGUUUGUAUGUACCAACAGUAAGAUAGGUAAUAGAAGAUUUUAAUUGGUAUAUACUGUUUAGAUUUUAUAUUUGAAUUGUAACAACUGUUUAUCUGUUGUUUUAGCACAGACAGGCCUGUCCUCUUGUUUGGUUUAAUUUUUUGUCUGGUAUUGUGUGUUCUUACAUUAGAGAAGGUUUUGACCUACAUAAUAAUGAACAUUUCACUAAUCUACAAUUCUGAUUGCAGUACCUUUUGUUUUGAUGAGGUGAUGGCGAGGACAGCCACAGCUUCCAUCUGGUAGAGGACUGCUUCCGCUCAGUCUUCCAAAUAGUGAUGAGAACAAGGAUCACCACAUCUCCCUGUUUACCCUACUUUCAUGCAUUUCGUCUGCAAGGCCCUGCAAAAGCUUCUGACCUCAAACCCCCAGACCUCUUAAUUAACUCAGUAACCUAUACAUUGCACAUUGGAGUGUGAAGGUAACAGUUUGUUCUAGCUUUGGAGUAGUGGUGUAUUUUUUUGGUUUACAAUAAAGUUGGCUUUAACUAUUA